GUGAGGAAUUUUCCGCAAUGGGCGAAAGCCUGACGGAGCAAUGCCGCGUGAAGGAUGAAGGCCUAUGGGUUGUAAACUUCUUUUCUCAGAAAAGAAUUAUGACGGUAUCUGAGGAAUAAGCAUCGGCUAACUCUGUGCCAGCAGCCGCGGUAAGACAGAGGAUGCAAGCGUUAUCCGGACUGAUUGGGCGUAAAGCGUCUGUAGGUUGUUUAAAAAGUAUUCUGUCAAAGAUGAGGGCUUAACACUAGAUAGGCAGAAUAAACUUUUAAGCUAGAGUUUGGUAGAGGCAGAGGGAAUUCCCGGUGGAGCGGUGAAAUGCGCAGAAAACGGGAGGAACACCAAAGGCGAAGGCACUCUGCUGGGCCAAUACUAACACUGAGAGACGAAAGCGAGGUGAGCAAAUGGGAUUAGAUACCCUUGUAGUCC
rnacentral:rRNA from 1 species